GCCUGUCUGUUCCUUAUCGCAGGAUCCAGGCUGGGGGUGAGGGGCUGGUGAGCAGGGGCCUGGCACCCCCUGAAGGUCUCCUUUCCCCAUAGUAUGAGAAGAUCCUGAAGCUCACGGCUGACGCCAAGUUUGUAGAGAUGAGGUUUCUCCAUGUUGGUCAGGCUGGUCUCGAACUCCUGACCUCAGGUGAUCCACCCACCUUGCCCUCCCAAAGUGCUGGGAUUACAGGCGUAAGCCACUGCGCCCAGCCACUGCCAUCAUCUUUAGGAAGAGAGAAGUGACCAUGCCUGAACCAGUCAUUGGCAAGAGGAACGGUGUUAUGGACUGAAUGUUCAUGUUCCUCCAGAAUUCAUAUGCUGAAGCCUCUGUCCACACAUGCACACCAGAUGAGGGCCAUGUGCGCACACGAGGUGGCUGUCUACAAGGCCAGAAAGAGGGCUGUCAACAGGAACUGCGUCUGCUGGCACCUUGAUCUUGAACUUCCCAGCCUCCAGAACUGUGA
rnacentral:lncRNA from 1 species